rnacentral:rRNA from 1 species
CCUACGGGCGGCAGCAGUGGGGAAUAUUGGACAAUGGGCGAAAGCCUGAUCCAGCCAUGCCGCGUGUGUGAAGAAGGCCUUCGGGUUGUAAAGCACUUUCAGUGGGGAAGAAAGCCUUGGGGCUAAUACCCUCGAGGAAGGACAUCACCCACAGAAGAAGCACCGGCUAACUCCGUGCCAGCAGCCGCGGUAAUACGGAGGGUGCGAGCGUUAAUCGGAAUUACUGGGCGUAAAGCGCGCGUAGGCGGUCUGAUAAGCCGGUUGUGAAAGCCCCGGGCUCAACCUGGGAACGGCAUCCGGAACUGUCAGGCUAGAGUGCAGGAGAGGAAGGUAGAAUUCCCGGUGUAGCGGUGAAAUGCGUAGAGAUCGGGAGGAAUACCAGUGGCGAAGGCGGCCUUCUGGACUGACACUGACGCUGAGGUGCGAAAGCGUGGGUAGCAAACAGGAUUAAAUACCCUAGUAGUC